rnacentral:rRNA from 1 species
AGCCAGACUCUAGCCUAACCUCACCACUCACCUAACAGCUAAAAAGCACCUCCACCCAUAAACUAAAACAUUCUCCUAGCUUAGUAUAGGCGAUAGAAAAGUUCCCCAGCGCGAUAGAGACCUGUACCGUAAGGGAAAGAUGAAAUAGCAAUGAAACCUCAAGCAACACACAGCAAAGAUAAACCCUUGUACCUCUUGCAUCAUGGUUUAGCAAGAAUAACCAAGCAAAAUGGAUUUAAGCUUGCCUUCCCGAAACCCAAGCGAGCUACUUGUAGGCAGCUACCCCCUGAGCGAACCCGUCCCUGUUGCAAAAGAGUGGGAUGACCUACUAGUAGAGGUGAAAAGCCAACCGAGCUGGGUGAUAGCUGGUUGCCUGUAAAACGAAUCUAAGUUCGCCCUUAAUUCCUCUCCAAGGACUACCAACUAGCCCUACACGUAGUGAAUUAAGAGUAAUCUAAAGGAGGUACAGCCCCUUUAAAAAAGAAUACAACCUCUCACAGCGGAUAAUGCAAACCACCUCCCCCAGCCUGUAGGCCUUUAAGCAGCCACCAGUAAAGAGUGCGUCAAAGCUCCCUCCCCAAAAAAUAUAAAAACAACAUGACUCCCUCCCCACUAACAGGCUAACCUAUUACAAUAGGAGAAUAAAUGCUAGAAUGAGUAACUAGGGUUAUUCCCUCUCAAGCGCAAACUUACAUCACUACAUUAUUACCAGCACUUAAUUAAUACCACAACCCAAAACAAGCCUAGACAUUAAAACCAUCCUGUUACCCCAACCCAGGAGCGCCUACUAGAAAGACUAAAAUCUGUAAAAGGAACUAGGCAAACCUAAGACCCGACUGUUUACCAAAAACAUAGCCUUCAGCAGACCAAGUAUUGAAGGUGAUGCCUGCCCAGUGACCUCCAGUUCAACGGCCGCGGUAUCCUAACCGUGCGAAGGUAGCGCAAUCAAUUGUCCCAUAAAUCGGGACUUGUAUGAAUGGCUAAACGAGGCCUUAACUGUCUCUUACAGAUAGUCAGUGAAAUUGAUCUUCCUGUGCAAAAGCAAGAAUAAACACAUAAGACGAGAAGACCCUGUGGAACUUAAAAAUCAACAGCCACUAUACAUAAAUACCCCCCUACCAGGCUCACACCCCUAAAUCUAAAUUGCUGGCUCACAUUUUUCGGUUGGGGCGACCUUGGAGAAAAGAAGAACCUCCAAAAAUAAGACCAUACCUCUUAACCAAGAGCAACCCCUCAACGUACUAAUAGUAACCAGAUCCAAUAAAAAUUGAUCAAUGGACCAAGCUACCCCAGGGAUAACAGCGCAAUCUCUCCUAAGAGCCCCUAUCGACGGAGAGGCUUACGACCUCGAUGUUGGAUCAGGACAUCCUAAUGGUGCAGCCGCUAUUAAGGGUUCGUUUGUUCAACGAUUAACAGUCCUACGUGAUCUGAGUUCAGACCGGAGCAAUCCAGGUCGGUUUCUAUCUAUGUAAUACUUCUCCCAGUACGAAAGGACCGGAGAAGUAAGGCCAAUGCCACAAGCACGCCUUCUCCCCAAAUACUGAACCCAACUAAAUUAUAAAAGGAAUCUCCUCAUAAACUCCAUAAGCCCUAGAAAAGGGCC